CGGCGAGUGAAGCGGCAAGAGCUCAGAUUUGAAAUCGCAGCGGCAACGCGGCGAGUUGUAGAUUGCAGGUGGGAGAGUUUGCGGGCGGCGGGCGUCGAAGUCCCUUGGAACAGGGCGCCACUGAGGGUGAGAGCCCCGUGCGAUGCCUGCCCAUGCUUUGAACUCCCCUCUGACGAGUCGAGUUGUUUGGGAAUGCAGCUCUAAGCGGGUGGUAAAUUCCAUCUAAGGCUAAAUACUGGCGAGAGACCGAUAGCGAACAAGUACUGUGAAGGAAAGAUGAAAAGCACUUUGAAAAGAGAGUGAAACAGCACGUGAAAUUGUUGAAAGGGAAGGGUAUUGGGCCCGACAUGGGAAUCGCGCACCGCUGCUCCUCGUGGGCGGCGCUCUGCGCUUUUCCUGGGCCAGCAUCGGUUUCCGCUGCAGGAGAAGGGGCUGUGGAAUGUGGCUGGCACGCUUGCGCGCCAGUGUUAUAGCCACGGGCCAGAUGCUGCGUGUGGGGACCGAGGGCUGCGACGGCAACGU
rnacentral:rRNA from 1 species